UAAGACAGAGGGGGCAAGCGUUGCUCGGAAUUACUGGGCGUAAAGGGCGCGUAGGCGGGAUGGCAAGUCGGUCGUGAAAUCCUCGGGCUCAACUCGAGGGGGUCGGCCGAUACUGCCGUUCUUGAGGGAUGCAGAGGAGACUGGAAUUCCCGGUGUAGCGGUGAAAUGUGUAGAGAUCGGGAGGAACACCGGUGGCGAAGGCGGGUCUCUGGGCAUUCCCUGACGCUGAGGCGCGAAAGCGUGGGGAGCAAACGGG
rnacentral:rRNA from 1 species